GCGGUGGUCCCACCUGACCCCAUGCCGAACUCAGAAGUGAAACGCCGUAGCGCCGAUGGUAGUGUGGGGCCUCCCCAUGCGAGAGUAGGGAACUGCCAGAC
rnacentral:rRNA from 1 species